GGCUACACACGUGCUACAAUGGGUAGUACAGAGAGUUGCAAAGCCGUGAGGUGGAGCUAAUCUCAGAAAACUAUUCUUAGUUCGGAUUGUACUCUGCAACUCGAGUACAUGAAGUUGGAAUCGCUAGUAAUCGCGAAUCAGCAAUGUCGCGGUGAAUACGUUCUCGGGUCUUGUACACACCGCCCGUCACACCACGAGAGUUGGUUGCACCUGAAGUAGCAGGCCUAACCGUAAGGAGGGAUGCUCCGAGGGUGUGAUUAGCGAUUGGGGUGAAGUCGUAACAAGGUAUCCGUACGGGAACGU
rnacentral:rRNA from 1 species